rnacentral:tRNA from 1 species
GGCUCAUUAGUUUAGUCGGAAGAAUACUAGACCCUCACUCUAGAGACGUGGGUUCGAAUCCCGCAUGGGCUA